AAUGCAUCCAAGCAAAUGUCUCGCGCACAUAUUCCUUGGACUUGAAGCUUUGCAUCAGCUUAAUAACCUGCAGAUUAGGCACAUCGAUUUCUGGGUGCUUGGCCAAAUUGUAGUCCUUCUUGGCAUAGCAGACCCCCUCUUGAAAGAGAUAUUUGGAGAUUUCCCUACGGUUUUUUUCUGAAAUAAUCAUGGUUGAAGCUCAGCAAGAACUGAAGACAGCAGCAGUAGA
rnacentral:misc_RNA from 1 species